rnacentral:rRNA from 1 species
AUUGAACGCUGGCGGCAGGCCUAACACAUGCCAGUCGAGCGGAUGAAGGGAGCUUGCUCCUGGAUUCAGCGGCGGACGGGUGAGUAAUGCCUAGGAAUCUGCCUGGUAGUGGGGGAUAACGUCCGGAAACGGGCGCUAAUACCGCAUACGUCCUGAGGUAGAAAGUGGGGGAUCUUCGGACCUCACGCUAUCAGAUGAGCCUAGGUCGGAUUAGCUAGUUGGUGGGGUAAAGGCCUACCAAGGCGACGAUCCGUAACUGGUCUGAGAGGAUGAUCAGUCACACUGGAACUGAGACACGGUCCAGACUCCUACGGGAGGCAGCAGUGGGGAAUAUUGGACAAUGGGCGAAAGCCUGAUCCAGCCAUGCCGCGUGUGUGAAGAAGGUCUUCGGAUUGUAAAGCACUUUAAGUUGGGAGGAAGGGCAGUAAGUUAAUACCUUGCUGUUUUGACGUUACCAACAGAAUAAGCACCGGCUAACUUCGUG